UACGUAGGGGGCAAGCGUUGUCCGGAAUCAUUGGGCGUAAAGCGCGCGUAGGCGGCCCGGUAAGUCCGCUGUAAAAGUCCAGGGCUCAACCCUGGAAAGCCGGUGGAUACUGCCGGGCUAGAGUCCGGAAGAGGCGAGUGGAAUUCCUGGUGUAGCGGUGGAAUGCGCAGAUAUCAGGAGGAACACCGAUGGCGAAGGCAGCUCGCUGGGACGGUACUGACGCUGAGGCGCGAAAGCGUGGGGAGCGAACAGG
rnacentral:rRNA from 1 species